CAGCACCCAUCUUUGAGUCAGAGUUUGAGAUGCAAAUCCUUUACUGUAUAGCCUUGAUCAAAUGACUUCACCUCAUUGAAUUAAUCUUCUUCUGCAUAAAAUGGGGUCACCAUCUGCUUAUCUAAAUUGUUACAAAUGGGACAGUAUAUGUGCCAUUCCAGAUACCUAAUCACAGCUCAAUCGAUGCUGGUGUCUUUUUCCUUUUUCCUUCUGCAGAAAACAUGCUUUACAUAGGAUCUCUGAACUUAAAGAAUGGGAAGAAGAAAAAUCAUGUUUCCAGCUUGGGCUGCUGUUUCAUCUGUUGGACUUGCUUGAUCCCUGAAUGGAAAGGAAUGCUAUGCACACUUUUUGGAUACAGGAAGUGAGAUUCAGAGGGGUUAAACAGCUUUCCUAAAGCCACACAGCGAGAGAGUCGAUCUGAACUGAAGAUUGUUUGACAUCAAAGCUCAUUUCUUUCCCUAAAUGUCAGCAUUCUUUCCUGACUUAUUAAUUUGAUUUCUGUCCUCCCCUCAUGGAAGUUAAUUAAAGGAAUGCGAGAACCUUUUAGAAAAUCUCCAGGGCAG
rnacentral:lncRNA from 1 species